GUCGUAACAAGGUUUCCGUAGGUGAACCUGCGGAAGGAUCAUUACCACACCAAAAAAACUCCAACGUGAAUGUAUUCUUGUAUGAGGUUUGUGCCUUGUUCUCUGUAAAAGGAGACCUUGUGCUAGCUGAAGGCGUUCUUUCGGGAACAAGCCGAUGUAUUUUUCAAUCCAAAACAUAACCCAAUAUACUGAAAUCUAGACUGCAGGUAGAAAUGCCUGUACUGAACGAAAUACAACUUUCAACAGUGGAUGUCUAGGCUC
rnacentral:misc_RNA from 1 species